CGAGCUGUCUUCGGACAGUAAGUCGCGAACGGCCGAGUAAUAGAUAGGAAUCUACCUUUUGGUGGGGAAUACCCCAGAGAAAUCUGGGUUAAUACCGCAUAAGAUCUCCGGAUGAAAGAGCGUAACUGCUCGCCGAUCGAGGAGCCUAUCUCCUAUCAGCUUGUUGGUGAGGUAAAAGCUCACCAAGGCUUUGACGGGUAGGGGGCGUGAGAGCGUGAUCCCCCGGAAUGGUACUGAGAACGGACCAUACACCUACGGGUGGCGCAACCAGGAAUCGUGUGCAAUGGGCGAAAGCCUGACGCCGCGACGCCGCGUGAGGGAUGAAGGCUUAUGGGUUGUAAACCUCUUUUGCCUCGAGAGCGAUCGAGAGGAGAAUAAGCACCGGCUAACUACGUGCCAGCAGCAGCGGUGAUACGUAGGGUGCAAGCGUUGUCCGGAUUUAUUGGGCGUAAAGCGUUACGUAGGCGUUUUAGAAAGUCAUGCUUUAAAGACCGAGGCUCAACUUCGGAAAGGGGCAUGAUACUACUAGAAUUGAAGAACCUAGGGGCUACUGGAACUUAUCAUGUAGGGGUGAAAUCCGUUGAUAUGAUAAGGAACACCAAGGGCGUAGGCGGGUAGCUGGGGGUUUCUUGACGCUGAUGUACGAAAGCUAGGGUAGCAAACUGGAUUAGAGACCCAGGUAGUCCUAGCCGUAAACGAUGCUCGCUAGCCCUUUGAUGCUAGUCAUUAAGGGGCGUAA
rnacentral:rRNA from 1 species